rnacentral:rRNA from 1 species
AUGCUUCCCCUUUUCAGCCAAUGUCACUGCAAACGGACCACGGAACUGCAGCAGUGGAAGCUCUUCAUCAAGAAGAUAAUAGUGAAGUACAUGCUUCAACUGCAGCGUUUCCUUGCUGAUGCCAGAGCUACCAAUAUAAUCGCCCCAGACCGCACUCACAAGGAAACGCUCAUAAAAUAUUAUGGCAUAUACGAUCGUUUGUCGCCAGUCCUCCAAAAGGAUAGUGUUCCACUCUUCCUCCGCAUCUUCGAGAAGUACAGGGAGUGCUUUGUUUCUGGUUUUGUCAUCAUUCCACAAACCCUUGACUUAAUUAUUCUAGAGAAUGCCCUGCGUUGUGCUAAUCUUGUUUUGGAGGGGAAGUCACCUAAGCUCUGCGGAGUACGUGCCAACCCCAACUACAUGACCAGCUUUGGGUACUUCCCCCUCCACCAAGCUGCAGAGUCAUUCUCCGUCGAAAUGGUUGAGUUACUGUUCCGGUAUGGUGCAUCGGCCAAUCAGCGCACCUCGGGUAAUAAAAUCAUCGAGGGCCUCCUCCCACUCCAUGUUGCCAUCGAGAACACUUGCCAGCACAAGUAUCUGGAGGACAACCUAUUAGUUGACGAGAACUACAGGAAGGGGAAUUUUGGGUACAUCUACAAGCUCAUACAUCUGCUUUGCCUGCCUGAGAUGAAGAUCUUCUUGGACACCACUAGAUUGCUUGCAGCUCACACUGAUAAUGUAGUCGAUGAGCUCUGGAAGUACAUGGAGCAUGGGAAGAUUGUCCCUGCAGCUAUUCUUCUCCUUGCAGCUCAAAGGCGAUUUCGUAAGCUCAAUGGUUUUGAUAUGAUCAAGAACCGUAUUGAUGAUUCUAUAUUCUCCCUGAUAAGGGAGGGGUGUGGAUUGCAAAUUGGUAAAAAUACCAAGGCAGCAAAGCAGCGGAAGGAGAAGGAAGUACGUUUCUAUAAUGCGUUGUUCCUUGUUAGGAUAAUUCUGAAAGCUGGUGAAGCUCUUGAUGCACAUAUUCAAACUCAUUCAGAGGCCACGACGAAGAAACCACGGGUUAGGCACCUGUAUGCAAGAGAUCAGUUUUUCCCGGCGUUCGACGAUGAUGACCAGUCCAUACACGCCGCCGUCGCGGUUCGCCUACAUGGCCGAGAACAUCUGCCGGACUGCCGGUACAAACCUAGGUACAGAUCACCGGCCUCCUCUUCCUGGACGUCAGCGACCUCCAGGCUCCAGUGCCAUGCCGAGGUCCUUGAUGUACCGCACGGCGCCCCGGACAUGAAGUCGCCGCUCACCCGAGCCGCCUCCUCCGCGCUCGAGCCCAACGGCGCUGGCAAAGACCAGACCAAGGACUCGCUAAGGGCUCGAGGCCAACCACCACGCCUGCCACCGCAAUUUUGCUGCUCUGGCCGCUGCCGGCGGGCCCAUGCAGAUAGGUCCUCCGAGCCAGAGGACGGCCUCUACAUGCUUCAACUGCAGCGUUUCCUUGCUGAUGCCAGAGCUACCAAUAUAAUCGCCCUAGACCGCACUCCCAAGGAAACGCUCAUAAAAUAUUAUGGCAUAUACGAUCGUUUGUCGCCAGUCCUCCAAAAGGAUAGUGUUCCACUCUUCCUCCGCAUCUUCGAGAAGUACAGGGAGUGCUUUGUUUCUGGUUUUGUCAUCAUUCCACAAACCCUUGACUUAAUUAUUCUAGAGAAUGCCCUGCGUUGUGCUAAUCUUGUUUUGGAGGGGAAGUCACCUAAGCUCUGCGGAGUACGUGCCAACCCCAACUACAUGACCAGCUUUGGGUACUUCCCCCUCCACCAAGCUGCAGAGUCAUUCUCCGUCGAAAUGGUUGAGUUACUGUUCCGGUAUGGUGCAUCGGCCAAUCAGCGCACCUCGGGUAAUAAAAUCAUCGAGGGCCUCCUCCCACUCCAUGUUGCCAUCGAGAACACUUGCCAGCAUAAGUAUCUGGAGGACAACCUAUUAGUUGACGAGAACUACAGGAAGGGGAAUUUUGGGUACAUCUACAAGCUCAUACAUCUGCUUUGCCUGCCUGAGAUGAAGAUCUUCUUGGACACCACUAGAUUGCUUGCAGCUCACACUGAUAAUGUAGUCGAUGAGCUCUGGAAGUACAUGGAGCAUGGGAAGAUUGUCCCUGCAGCUAUUCUUCUCCUUGCAGCUCAAAGGCGAUUUCGUAAGCUCAAUGGUUUUGAUAUGAUCAAGAACCGUAUUGAUGAUUCUAUAUUCUCCCUGAUAAGGGAGGGGUGUGGAUUGCAAAUUGGUAAAAAUACCAAGGCAGCAAAGCAGCGGAAGGAGAAGGAAGUACGUUUCUAUAAUGCGUUCUUCCUUGUUAGGAUAAUUCUGAAAGCUGGUGAAGCUCUUGAUGCAUAUAUUCAAACUCAUUCAGAGGUACCAUCUUUUCAUUUGAUGCAUACAUUUGUUUUUUCUUGUUUUACCGAAUCUUAA